UACGGAGGGGGGCUAGCGUUGUUCGGAAUUACUGGGCGUAAAGCGCGCGCAGGCGGUUCUCCAAGUCAGUGGUGAAAGCCCGGAGCUCAACUCCGGAACUGCCAUUGAAACUGUUGAACUUGAGGACGAGAGAGGUGAGUGGAAUUCCCAGUGUAGAGGUGAAAUUCGUAGAUAUUGGGAAGAACACCAGUGGCGAAGGCGGCUCACUGGCUCGUAUCUGGCGCUCAGGCGGCGAUAGC
rnacentral:rRNA from 1 species